rnacentral:snoRNA from 11 species
GGCAAAGAUGAAGAGUGCUUUAUAUUUCUGACACCUCUUGUAUGAGAAGAGCUCUCAAAAAGCUCUUCUUUGAGCACAUACAGCUACUCUCUGAGCC